rnacentral:lncRNA from 1 species
ACUUCUCUUUCUCUCCCAUCUGACCAGCACAUACUUGCACACUGUGGUGGCUCCCGCUGCAGGCUGGCCACGAGGCUGACAGGUCCCUGGUUGUCUAUGGCCCUCCUGUACAGUGCACCGGAUGGCAGGUCUGUGACAUGGUGGUCAGAAGGCAUGUGCCUGUUUUCUUUCUCCUGUGCUGCUCUGUGUGGUGGUAGGUAUGGUUCUGUGUAUCUAAGGUCUAUUUGUGCUGUGGGGCAGAGGGCAUGGCUGUGUCUUCCAUCCAUGUUGUGUGGCUUGGUGACAAGUUGGUGUCUAUGGCUUGCCUGUGCUGUGUGCUGGAGAGGGCAGGUCUAUGGGUGGCAUGGCGAUCUGCUGGUCUCUGUAUGUCUUCUUCCUUUUGUGCUCCACUGCUUGGAUUUGAUUUGAUUUGAUUUAGGUUUUAUGAGUCCUAGGCAUAAGACAGCUUUGCACUACAAGCCAGGCGUCAAGCUAGGAUGAACAAAGGACUGCCAUCUGCUCUGUCUCUGACUGAUGAAUUUUUGCUGUUGAUUGCAAGUUAGCUGCAGUGUGAACUACAGACUGAGAAAGAGUCAAGGAACUGCCGCCUACCUUGGACCACAGGAGGUGCUGUAAGGAGACACAAGCCCUUUAAAAUGCACAAUUAGAGUGUCCCUGAAGACUCUCAAGUUUUCCUUAAAGAGUCUGGCAAGUUGCAGAAGCUCAAGGCCCAGCUAAUCUUACUUCGUUCCUGUUCUCUUCUGUUUAAAAUACCAAAUUAUUUUGCAGUGCUGAGCUGGUGGUUGCCAGCUGAAACUUCAAGUAGAAUUAAUAACCAGAGCUGAUGUCUGGAAUCCACAAGUAGGCCAGGACUGCAGCACAUCCAAGGGCAUCCACGCCGCUGAACCCGGAUGAGUAAUGCUAAUAGCUGUGGAAAAAUCCAGAGCAAACAGAAAAAACCCUUGUGUGUAACUGUGAAAAGAGGACUCUUGUCGCUACAGCAUCUGGGGAGACUAUUUACCUUCGCAGUAAUUAUACUUGAGUGGCCUUCAACUGAACAACUGAAGUGACUCAACAGAGAAUUGCAAAAGGGGGAACAAAGGAAGUGUGGUGUUUUGAGGUCAAUUGUGUAAUCUUUUUACUUACAUACCAUUUUUUUUACAUAAUAAAUAAUUUACUUUAAAAGUGAA